UACAGAGGCCUCGAGCGUUAGGCGGAAUCACUGGGCUUACAGGGUGCGUAGGCGGCUUGUCAAGUAGGGUGUGAAAGCCCCCGGCUCAACCGGGGAAUGGCGCCCUAAACUGGCGAGCUAGAGUGAGAUAGGGGUGUGUGGAACUUCCGGUGGAGCGGUGAAAUGUGUUGAUAUCGGAAGGAACGCCGGUGGCGAAAGCGACACACUGGAUCUUGUCUGACGCUGAGGCACGAAAGCCAGGGGAGCGAACGGG
rnacentral:rRNA from 1 species